rnacentral:rRNA from 1 species
GUGGGGAAUAUUGGACAAUGGGGGGAACCCUGAUCCAGCCAUGCCGCGUGUGUGAAGAAGGCCUUUUGGUUGUAAAGCACUUUAAGCGAGGAGGAGGCUACCGAGAUUAAUACUCUUGGAUAGUGGACGUUACUCGCAGAAUAAGCACCGGCUAACUCUGUGCCAGCAGCCGCGGUAAUACAGAGGGUGCAAGCGUUAAUCGGAUUUACUGGGCGUAAAGCGCGCGUAGGUGGCCAAUUAAGUCAAAUGUGAAAUCCCCGAGCUUAACUUGGGAAUUGCAUUCGAUACUGGUUGGCUAGAGUAUGGGAGAGGAUGGUAGAAUUCCAGGUGUAGCGGUGAAAUGCGUAGAGAUCUGGAGGAAUACCGAUGGCGAAGGCAGCCAUCUGGCCUAAUACUGACACUGAGGUGCGAAAGCAUGGGGAGCAAACAGGAUUAGAAACCCUUGUAGUCC